GUUCUCCCCGAAAUAGCUUUAGGGCUAGCCUCGGUAUAAAAGUAGUGGAGGUAGAGCACUGAUUGGGUGCGGGGCCCGCAAGGGUUACCAAGCUCAGUCAAACUCCGAAUGCCAUAUACUUGUUGCCGGGAGUCAGACAGUGAGUGCUAAGAUCCAUUGUCAAAAGGGAAACAGCCCAGACCAUCAGCUAAGGUCCCCAAGUGUGUGUUAAGUGGGAAAGGAUGUGGAGUUGCACAGACAACC
rnacentral:rRNA from 1 species